AGCAGCCGCGGUAAUUCCAGCUCCAAUAGCGUAUAUUAAAGUUGUUGCAGUUAAAAAGCUCGUAGUUGAAUUUCGGGAUCAAGGAAUCGGUCAUGCCUUGGUAUGUACUGGUUUUAUUGGUUCUCACCUUCUAAAGAACCAUAAUGUCAUUCAUUUGAUGUUAUGGGGAAUUAGGACUGUUACCUUGAAAAAAUUAGAGUGUUUAAAGCAGGCUUACGCUUGAAUACAUUAGCAUGGAAUAAUGAAAUAGGACAUCAGAUUCUAUUUUGUUGGUUUCUAGGAUCGAUGUAAUGAUUAAUAGGGAUAGUUGGGGGCAUUAGUAUUCAAUUGUCAGAGGUGAAAUUCUUGGAUUUAUUGAAGACUAACUACUGCGAAAGCAUUUGCCAAGGAUGUUUUCAUUAAUCAAGAACGAAAGUUAGGGGAAUCGAAGACGAUCAGAUACCGUCGUAGUCUUAACCAUAAACUAUAGCCGACUAGGGAUCGGAUGAUGUUAAUUUUUUAAUGUACUCAUUCGGCGUCC
rnacentral:rRNA from 1 species